AGUGAACGCUGGCGGUAGGCCUAACACAUGCAAGUCGAACGGCAGCACAGUAAGAGCUUGCUCUUACGGGUGGCGAGUGGCGGACGGGUGAGGAAUACAUCGGAAUCUUCUUUUUCGUGGGGGAUAACGUAGGGAAACUUACGCUAAUACCGCAUACGACCUACGGGUGAAAGCAGGGGAUCUUCGCACCUUGCGCGAUUGAAUGAGCCGAUGUCGGAUUAGCUAGUUGGCGGGGUAAAGGCCCACCAAGGCGACGAUCCGUAGCUGGUCUGAGAGGAUGAUCAGCCACACUGGAACGGAGACACGGUCCAGACUCCUACGGGAGGCAGCAGUGGGGAAUAUGGGACAAUGGGCGCAAGCCUGAUCCAGCCAUACCGCGUGGGUGAAGAAGGCCUUCGGGUUGUAAAGCCCUUUUGUUGGGAAAGAAAAGCAGCAGGUUAAUACCCCGCUGUUCUGACGGUACCCAAAGAAUAAGCACCGGCUAACUUCGUG
rnacentral:rRNA from 1 species